rnacentral:rRNA from 1 species
AGAGUUUGAUCAUGGCUCAGAAUCAACGCUGGCGGCGCGCCUAACACAUGCAAGUCGAACGAGAAAGCAGGAGCAAUCUUGUGAGUAAAGUGGCGUACGGGUGAGUAACACGUGGAUUAUCUACCUCUUUGUGGGGGAUAACCCUGGGAAACCGGGGCUAAUACCGCAUAAGUCCGAGAGGAGAAAGCAGCAAUGCGCAGAGAGAGGAGUCCGCGGCCGAUUAGCUAGUUGGCAGGGUAAAAGCCUACCAAGGCUAAGAUCGGUAGCCGGCCUGAGAGGGCACACGGCCACACUGGCACUGAAACACGGGCCAGACUCCUACGGGAGGCAGCAGUGGGGAAUCUUGCACAAUGGGGGAAACCCUGAUGCAGCGACGCCGCGUGAGCGAUGAAGCCCUUCGGGGUGUAAAGCUCUUUCGGCAGGGAAGAUUAUGACGGUACCUGCAGAAGCAGCUGCGGCUAACUACGUGCCAGCAGCCGCGGUAAUACGUAGGCAGCAAGCGUUGUUCGGAGUUACUGGGCGUAAAGGGUGUGUAGGCGGUCCCCUAAGUUUGGUGUGAAAUCUCCCGGCUCAACUGGGAGGGUGCGCCGAAAACUGGGGGGCUAGAGUGCGGGAUGGGUAAGUGGAAUUCCUGGUGUAGCGGUGAAAUGCGUAGAUAUCAGGAGGAACACCUGUGGUGUAGACGGCUUACUGGACCGCAACUGACGCUGAGACACGAAAGCGUGGGUAGCAAACAGGAUUAGAUACCCUAGUAGUCC